CCUACGGGUGGCAGCAGUGAGGAAUAUUGGUCAAUGGGCGGAAGCCUGAACCAGCCAAGUAGCGUGCAGGAUGACGGCCCUACGGGUUGUAAACUGCUUUUAUACGGGAAUAACGUGCCUUACGUGUAGGUCUUUGCAUGUACCGUAUGAAUAAGGACCGGCUAAUUCCGUGCCAGCAGCCGCGGUAAGACGGAAGGUCCGGGCGUUAUCCGGAUUUAUUGGGUUUAAAGGGAGCGUAGGCCGCACGUCAAGCGUGCUGUGAAAUGUCCGGGCUCAACCCGGGCCUUGCAGCGCGAACUGGCGGGAUUGAGUCCGCGGAAGGCAGGCGGAAUUCGUGGUGUAGCGGUGAAAUGCUUAGAUAUGACGAAGAACCCCGAUUGCGAAGGCAGCUUGCUGCAGCGGAACUGACGCUGAGGCUCGAAGGCGCGGGUAUCGAACAGGAUUAGAUACCCGUGUAGUC
rnacentral:rRNA from 1 species